rnacentral:lncRNA from 1 species
GAGUAGGGAGAGCUAGAGGGAACUGAAAAGAAGAGAUUGAGUUUCUAGCAGUGGAUUGAGUUGGAUGGAACAAGCUUACCAGGACCAGAAGGAGAGAGGCUGGCAUGAGCAGGAAGCUGCAGCAAGAUGGCUUGGGACCAGUUUUGAAGCUGGAAGGGAAAAAAGGCUCACAACAUUGAAAAGAGGAACUGAGAGGUCAGUGAAGACACUGCAAGGAAAGAGCCAUCUGAGAAAUCUGGAGAGGACAGAAAGCUGGUGACAACUGUCAAACUGUCAGGUGAGCAAUGCCAUGAAUAAAAUAUCCCUAACCUGGCUAUGAAAUUAUAUG